CCUGGAGAGAGCAGGAGAGUGGUAUGUAUGAGGGAAUCCCUCCCGUGUGAAUGAAGAAUCCAGAUGAUGAGGAAUGUGCCACUGUCUCGCUGGCUCUCCUGCAGACAGGCAGCCGGAGUUGAGCUUCCUGUUGUAACUGAGGACCCAGGCUGUGGUGGAGAAGUGGUUGCUCCAGGGAGGGUGGCCCAGCAGCAGCUUGGUUUGUGCUCUCGCCUAUCUCCUCCACACACACCAGCCCUGUUCUUCAGCACCCAAGGCUGCCAGAGGUCCUUCAGCAGCUCCGACGGCUGACAGUGACUCUAUGUUUCCUAGCGACGAUGGCUAGUGAGAUACUUCCAGAAAUGACCCUAGCUCUUUGCCAGAGGUUGUCUGAAGAUGGAGCCCUUGUCUACGGCCGUAGCACCCUGAGUGCACUCGCUGCCAUCCCAUGAUGAAGGUCCUGCCUCCAUCCCAGCUGCCAUUCUGUGAACUGCCGUUUGACACUGCAGAGCCCGGAGACCAGUGGUGAAGACGGGAGGUGACCUUCGCUGCUCUUCU